rnacentral:rRNA from 1 species
AUUGAACGCUGGCGGCAGGCUUAACACAUGCACGUCGAACGAGUGGCGGACGGGUGAGUAAUGUCUGGGAAACUGCCUGAUGGCGGGGGAUAACUACUGGAAACGGUAGCUAAUACCGCAUACUAUCAGAUGUGCCCAGAUGGGAUUCGCUAGUUGGUGGGGUACCGGCUCACCAAGGCGACGAUCCCUAGAUGGUCUGAGAGGAUGACCAGCCACACUGGAACUGAGACACGGUCCAGACUCCUACGGGAGGCAGCAGUGGGGAAUAUUGCACAAUGGGCGCAAGCCUGAUGCAGCCAUGCCGCGUGUAUGAAGAAGGCCUUCGGGUUGUAAAGUACUUUCAGCGGGGAGGCGUUACCCGCAGAAGAAGCACCGGCUAACUCCGUGCCAGCAGCCGCGGUAAUAC